UCCUGGUUAGCUCAGUUGCUAGAGCACUCAACUGGAAAUUGGGAGGUCCCGGGUUCGAUAUCGGACCAAGCG
rnacentral:tRNA from 2 species